UCCAAUCCUGCUCCUAAAGGAUCAACAUCCUGCAGAGUUUAAUGCCAACCUGCUCCAGCACACCUGCCUGGAGGUUUCUAGCAAUCCUGGAGACCUUGAUGAGCUGGUUCAGGUGUGUUUAAUUAGGGUUGGAGCUAAACUCUGCAGGACAAUAGCCCUCCAAGAGCAGAGCAGGACAAUAAACUAGAGAGAGGCCUUGGCAAGUUUUGCACUUAGACAUAAGCCCCUUCAGACGGACAGCUCCAGUGCAUUAUUGCAGUAAUCGAUCAGGGCCUCGGCACACGCAUGAAAGGCCCAUUCAUCGCUCCUGGACCACCCACUUUCGCUCACACGUCACAACAACCCACCUCUCAGCGUUUAAAGAACUGAAAAACAAGCCUGUCCAUGCUAUGUGAACACGCACGACGGAAAUGGAGUGGGAGGGCUGGGGAGCUGGAUAAGAUGGAAGUGGCCGAGAGAAGACAAAAAUAAAACACAAUUUCAACAAUAGCUCAAACCCCUGCCUCGGUGUCUACAGGAGAACGAACUAGCGCACCAUCAGCAAGUCCAGGAAUUUUGUCUUCCGCUAGGCUACAGUGAAGCUGGUGCUUACAAUGGAAAUGAAUGUGGCUGCUUUUUAGAAAGUUUAAA